AGCCCACGACUGGCAUUCUGACAUCACCUCACUUUGUAGUCUCAGUGCCAAGGAUGACCUGUCUUUUGCUGUGUUUAAGCCUCAGUAAUUCAUCGAGAAGUUUUCUCAGCCCUUAAGCUCGAAAGUACAAGUGAGUCACUUCUGUGCUGAAAUGUGGAAGACACUUUAGAAAAAUCAAUGACAAGACAUUCCUGCUAUGAAACGAUGUGUCUCUAAUCUCCUGAUUUCUCAAACGUCAAGGCAUGUAGAUAAAAUCUAGUUCAUCCAUCACUUGAAACGUCCGUAUUAACAUAAAGAAAGAACACGCCAAUUGAUUAGGUCUCUUAUUUGUCAUAUGUCUUUGCUGGACAAAUAUCAAGCCAGUUAAAUCCCCCAACCAGACUCCAAGGACUCAUUUGCUCACCUGGAUUUGUAGAACUGCAAAACAUCAUGAGAAAUUUUGUGUUUCUUUCAUAAAGUGAUAAUUGUGCCCAAAAUAUAGGCAUGAUUCAAUUAAACAGUCUGACCAUCUAAA